GACCAGACUCCUACGGGAGGCAGCAGUGGGGAAUAUUGCACAAUGGGGGGAACCCUGAUGCAGCGACGCCGCGUGAGUGAAGAAGUAUUUCGGUAUGUAAAGCUCUAUCAGCAGGGACGAAGAUGACGGUACCUGCAGAAGAAGCCCCGGCUAACUACGUGCCAGCAGCCGCGGUAAUACGUAGGGGGCAAGCGUUAUCCGGAUUUACUGGGUGUAAAGGGAGCGUAGACGGCAAUACAAGUCGGAAGUGAAAUACCCGGGCUCAACCUGGGAACUGCUUUGGAAACUGUAUGGCUGGAGUGCUGGAGAGGUAAGCGGAAUUCCUAGUGUAGCGGUGAAAUGCGUAGAUAUUAGGAGGAACACCAGUGGCGAAGGCGGUCUGCUGGACAGCAACUGACGGUGAGGCGCGAAAGCGUGGGGAGCAAACAGGAUUAGAUACCCUGGUAUG
rnacentral:rRNA from 1 species